ACUCCUACGGGGAGGCAGCAGUGGGGAAUAUUGCACAAUGGGGGAAACCCCUGAUGCAGCCAUGCCGCGUGUGUGAAGAAGGCCUUCGGGUUGUAAAGCACUUUCAGUAGGGAGGAAGGUAGUGUAGUUAACACCUGCACUAUUUGUACGUUACCUACAGAAGAAGCACCGGCUAACUCCGUGCCAGCAGCCGCGGUAAGUACGGAGGGUGCGAGCGUUAAUCGGAAUUACUGGGCGUAAAGCGCAUGCAGGUUGGUUUGUUAAGUCAGAUGUGAAAGCCCGGGGUCUCAACCGUCGGAAUAGCAUUUGAAACUGGCAGACUAGAGUACUGUAGAGGGGUUAGAAUUUCAGGUGUAGCGGUAGAAAUGCGUAGAGAUCUGAA
rnacentral:rRNA from 1 species